rnacentral:rRNA from 1 species
GAUGAACGCUGGCGGCGUGCCUAAUACAUGCAAGUCGAGCGAACAGACGAGGAGCUUGCUCCUCUGACGUAGCGGCGGACGGGUGAGUAACACGUGGAUAACCUACCUAUAAGACUGGGAUAACUUCGGGAAACCGGAGCUAAUACCGGAUAACAUGUUGAACCGCAUGGUUCAACAGUGAAAGACGGUCUUGCUGUCACUUAUAGAUGGAUCCGCGCCGCAUUAGCUAGUUGGUAAGGUAACGGCUUACCAAGGCAACGAUGCGUAGCCGACCUGAGAGGGUGAUCGGCCACACUGGAACUGAGACACGGUCCAGACUCCUACGGGAGGCAGCAGUAGGGAAUCUUCCGCAAUGGGCGAAAGCCUGACGGAGCAACGCCGCGUGAGUGAAGAAGGUCUUCGGAUCGUAAAACUCUGUUAUUAGGGAAGAACAAAUGUGUAAGUAACUAUGCACGUCCUGACGGUACCUAAUCAGAAAGCCACGGCUAACUACGUG